CUAAUAUUUGAAGAAAAAUCAAUAUAUUAUGGAUCAAAAAAUCCUUAUAUAAAGGGCUGAAUUAUUCAGGGAACUCAGCAGGAGCUUCUGAGACUGAGGGUUUUAAUCAUGGCCAGGCGGUUGGUUUACUAUAUAAUGUAGGGAAAAUUAUUUUGAUUUUCAUUGGCUAGGACGCAAGCAAAGUUAACUUCACUAAGUGGAACUUGUCUCUCUAAUUUUUCAUAUAUGUAAUGUAAGGGUGAUCUAGUCCCUGAAUAACUAGGAUGGAUAAUUAGCUAGGAUGCUUAUAACAAAAAUAUUUUGCAAAUAAAAAAUGCUGCAUAAACAUUUUUCAAAAAUCUGUCAUUUUCAAAAAAAAUUUCAAACUGCUUCAUGGUGUACCACAUUUAGUGCCUAAAAGCCUAGUAUUAAAAAAAGUAAUAAUGGUGGAAUUUCAAAGAGUGAGGAAGCAUAGGUGUUACUUAUAAAAGAGUCAGAUAGAGAAACCACAAUGAAGAAUUCCUUUGAAUUUAUUUCAGACACCCCAGGUUAGCAGAUACCACCAGCUCUGUGAAAACGUUGAAAUAACACCUUUGUGGCCAUCUGGUUCAGACUUGCUUUCUGAUACCUCAAUCAGCAACUUGCCUUUGUGAAGUGGGGCAGCUUGUUUGCUUUUGCUCAAUUUGCAACCAGAUCCAGAAUUCACUCUGCUAUUUCUCAAGAGUCUGACCUGCAUCAACAGCCUCCCUUAUUCUGUGAUCCCAGUUUUGGAGAUCAAGGACAAGUUCAUUCUGGGUUGGCCGUGUCCAACUACUUUAAGCCAGCUACAUCCCCACCGGAAGCCAGGCUCUUGCCAACAGCUGUCUCCACAUUCCUCUUUCUAUGUCUGUUAUUUGUCUCUAGGUUCUGGUAACUACUUCCUCCUUUUGCCCCUUCUGGCCUAGGAUACCACCAAUCCCUCCUCCCAAUCAUGCUUUCACUAGCCUCAAAGUACUUGUAGCUUCCUCCCUUUACCUUCACCUUAAUAAAUUAUCCCCCUACUAUCUCUCUUCA
rnacentral:lncRNA from 13 species